rnacentral:rRNA from 1 species
UGGCUCAGAACGAACGCUGGCGGCGUGCCUCAGACAUGCAAGUCGAACGCGAAAGCCUCCUUCGGGGGGCAAGUAGAGAGGCGCACGGGUGAGUAACACGUAGGUAAUCUACCUUUGGAUUGGGAAUAACCAUCGGAAACGGUGGCUAAUACCGAAUAAUGCAGCGGCACCUAAUGGUGACAGUUGUUAAAGCGGGGGAUCGCAAGACCUCGCGUCUAAAGAGGAGCCUGCGGCGGAUUAGCUAGUUGGUAGUGUAACGGCUUACCAAGACGAAGAUCCGUAGCCGGCCUGAGAGGGCGGUCGGCCACACU